AGAGUUUGAUCCUGGCUCAGGACUAACGCUGGCGGCACGCCUAACACAUGCAAGUCGCACGAGAAACUUCGUAGCAAUACGGGGCGGUAAAGUGGCGAACGGGUGAGUAAUGCAUGGGUGACCUGUCCUCAAGAUGGGAAUAACCUCGCGAAAGCGGGGCUAAUACCCAAUGUCAUCCCGGUCUUUCGGGAUCGGGAUGAAAGAUAGCUGUUACAGGCUUUUGCUUGAGGAGGGGCCCAUGUCCCAUCAGCUAGUUGGUAGGGUAACGGCCUACCAAGGCUAUGACGGGUAGCUGGUCUGAGAGGACGACCAGCCACACUGGCACUGAGACACGGGCCAGACUCCUACGGGAGGCAGCAGUGAGGAAUCUUGCGCAAUGGACGAAAGUCUGACGCAGCGAUGCCGCGUGGGGGAUGAAGGCCUUCGGGUUGUAAACCCCUUUUAGUGGGAAAGAAACACCCGGAUGUUAACAGCGUCCGGGCUUGACGGUACCCACAGAAUAAGCCACGGCUAACUCUGUGCCAGCAGCCGCGGUAAGACAGAGGUGGCAAGCGUUGUCCGGAAUUACUGGGCGUAAAGCGCGCGUAGGUGGCUAGAUAAGUCCGGUGUGAAAUCCUUCGGCUUAACCGGGGAAUGGCAUCGGGGACUGUUUAGCUAGAGGACGGGAGAGGAGAGCGGAAUUCCCGGUGUAGCGGUGAAAUGCGUAGAGAUCGGGAGGAAGGCCGGUGGCGAAGGCGGCUCUCUGGAACGUCCCUGACGCUGAGGCGCGAAAGCGUGGGGAGCAAACAGGAUUAGAUACCCUAGUAGUCC
rnacentral:rRNA from 1 species